CCGAAACCAGGUGAUCUACCCAUGUCCAGGAUGAAGGUAAGGUAAUACUUACUGGAGGUCCGAACCCACGCACGUUGAAAAGUGCGGGGAUGAGGUGUGGGUAGCGGAGAAAUUCCAAUCGAACUUGGAGAUAGCUGGUUCUCUCCGAAAUAGCUUUAGGGCUAGCCUCGAGGUAAAGAGUCAUGGAGGUAGAGCACUGUUUGGACUAGGGGCCCUUCUCGGGUUACCGAAUUCAGAUAAACUCCGAAUGCCAUGUACUUAUACUCGGGAGUCAGACUGCGAGUGAUAAGAUCCGUAGUCGAAAGGGAAACAGCCCAGACCACCAGUUAAGGUCCCCAAAUAUAUGUUAAGUGGAAAAGGAUGUGGGGUUGCUUAGACAACCAGGAUGUUGGCUUAGAAGCAGCCACCAUUGAAAGAGUGCGUAAUAGCUCACUGGUCGAGUGACCCCGCGCCGAAAAUGUACCGGGGCUAAACAUAUUACCGAAACUGUGGAUGAACCUCUUUAGAGGUUCGUGGUAGGAGAGCGUUCUAAGGGCGGUGAAGUCAGACCGGAAGGACUGGUGGAGCGCUUAGAAGUGAGAAUGCCGGUAUGAGUAGCGAAAGAAGGGUGAGAAUCCCUUCCACCGAAUAUCUAAGGUUUCCUGAGGAAGGCUCGUCCGCUCAGGGUUAGUCGGGACCUAAGCCGAGGCC
rnacentral:rRNA from 1 species